CUCUAGGAAGGCCAGGUUGUGGUGUGAUGCUUCCGCUUUACAAAAGUAAUACAACAAACAGUUUAAUGGCAAUUAGAUCAGAAAGUUCCAUAUAUAUAUCUCAUGCUGGGGAUGGUUCAUUAGAGAAUGUUAUUAAAAGUGGGAAGUUCAAGCAGAUGUUCUUGCACUUGGGACCAUUGGAACUGAUAUGUGUUUUUUUUGUUGAUGAUGACAAACUUGACCUAGACAUUCCCUACA
rnacentral:lncRNA from 7 species